CUAUCGAUUUGUUCUUCUACUCCUCUCCCCUUUCCUCUGACCCUAAGUCAUCAUUGAUUCACCUUUUCCUCCCAACUGCCUCCUUCAUGGCUUCUCCAGUGACCUAAUUGAUCCAUACUCACUAGAUUCCAAUUUCUAUAUAAUGUUGACAUGCGCUAUCGCUAUCGAUCGAUCGAUUUACUCUCCCGCUCAUCUCCCCUUUCCUCUAACCCUAAGUCAUCAUCGAUAUAGCUUCUCCAGUGACCUAAUUGUUCCAUAGUCACCAGAAAAUGUUCGACUUGAAAAAGGCUGUGGAGAAAAUUGAUGAGUUGAAAGAUAAAGAAGGUAUUGGAUUACAUUCAUGAAGUCAUUUAUUAAUAGCUUAAAACAAAUAUAAAAUUAUGAUCAAAUAUACAAUCUUUAGAAGCGAGAAGAAAGGGAUCAUUGAAAGGGAAAAGCAUUCGUGAAGAGAAUGUUGACAAUGAUUAUUACAAUGAAGAAAAUGCGAUGUGGGCUACAUCAGAUGAUGCUACUAAAGCAAAAAUGAAAAGAAGAGUUAAGGAGCUUAUUAGAGAAUGAUAUGAAAACCUACCCAACUUCUUCGAUCAUCCUCCUCAAGAGCCAUAAGGUAUAGUUUACUCACUACCAAAAAGUAAAGACGUCACGGUUUAGAGAAUUAACAGUAAAAUAACAUUACUAAAUGCAUAUGAUUAUAUAAUUAAUAAUUGUUAAAAAGUUUGAGAUGACUUUGGAAGAUCAAUGCAAAUAAUGAAGUUUUUAAGGUUAAAAACAUUCUAAUUUCAUAUAUACAUAUAUAUCUCUUUAUGUUUAAAUAUUAAUUUUAUAUUUAUUAUAGUAAUAAAAAAGUAAUAGGGAGAAGUGGAAAAGGAUUGGCAAGAAAAGAGAGGCGAAAGCAUGACAAUAAUGGAAGAGAUGAAAGUGGAAGGAGAUCUGUAAGAAAAGGAAGACAAAAAAGUUGUAGGCAAAAAAAAAGAUGAAAAUAGAAAAAAAAUUCCAGAAGAAGAUGGAGACAAAAUGAUGACAAGCAUGGAACAGAUCAAAAUGGAAAAAAAAAUUGCAAGAAAAUGGAGGGAAAAGUAUAAUAGGUAAAGAAAAUGUGGAAUAGAAGAAAAUCUACUAGAAAUCGGAGACAAAAGCAUGAUAGGAAACCAUUAGACGGUAUGGGAAGGAAAUAUGCAAGAAGAGGGAGAUGGAAGGAUGACAAAAAUGGAAUAGAUGAAAGUGGAAGGUAAUCUAUAAGAAAAAAAAAAAAAGGCAAAGGCAAAGAAAAGAUGAAAGUAGAAGAAAAUCCAUAAGAAAAGGGAGGCAAAAACAUGAUAAGAAAAUAAGAGACAAUAAUGAAAGAUAAAUGACAAGAAGAGAAAGGCAAAACUAUUAUCGUUGAUGAUAACCCAAAUAGUGAAUCCACACUUUCAAUAUCAAAUGAUUUAGAGGAUGAAGUUAUGCUUAUGGAUAAUCGAUCUAUUAUGAUUUUCACUCUUUGUAAUUAAAUCUUGCCUGGAAACUUUAAUUUCAAAAUAAAAAGACUAAAAAAACUACUAUUGAUUGUCGUAACUAAGUCAUAAGAACCAAUAACUAUAAUAGUAAUUUUUUAAGCCUUUCUAUUUUGAAAUCAAAGUUUCUAGGCAAGACUUAGUUAAAAAGAGUGAAAAUCAUAGUAGACCGGAUUAUCUAUAAGCAUAACUUCAUUGUCAAAAUCAUCUGAUAUCGAAAGUGAUUCACUAUCUGGAUUAUCAUCAAUGAUGAUAGUUUUGCCUCUCUUCUUGUCAAUUAUCUUCCAUUAUUAUCUUUUAUUUUCCUAUCAUGCUUUUGCCUCCCUUUUCUUAUGGAUUUUCUUUUACUUUCAUCCUUUCUUUGCAUUUGCUUCCCUUUUCUUGUAGAUUACCUUCCACUUUCAUCUUUUCUAUUUUUUUCAUCCUUCCACCUCCCUCUUUUUGCAGAUUUCCUUCCAGUACUAUCUAUUGUUUUCCUAUCAUGCUUUUGCCUCCCAUUUUUAGCAAAUUUCUUUCCAUUCCAUGUUUUCUUUUCUAUUAUACUUUUUCCUCCAUUUUCUUGUGGAUUUCAUUCCAUUUUGAUAUGUCCAUGCUUAUCAUCAUUUUGUCUCCAUCUUCUUGUGGUUUUUUUUUCAUUUCAUCUUUUUUUGUGUGCUUCUUUGCCUUCCUUUUCUUACAGAUCUCUUUCCAGUUUCAUCUCUUUCAUUAUUAUCAUGCUUUCACCUCUCUCUUCUUGCCAAUCCUCUUCCACUUCUCCAUGUUACUUUUUUAUUACUAUGACAAAUACAAAAUUAACAUUUAAAUAUAAAGAGACAUGUAUGCAUAUAUGAAAUUAGAAUCUUCUUGACCUUAAAAACUUCAUUAUUUGCAUUGAUCUUUCCAAAGUCAUAUCAAACUUUUUAACAAGCUUUAAAAUUUAUUAAUUAUAUAAUCAUAUGCAUUUAAUGAUCUUACUAUACCAUCGAUUCAAUAAAAUCGUAAUGUCUUUACAUUUUGAUAAUGGGUAAACUAUACCUUAUGGCUCUUGAGGAGCAUGAUUGAAGAAGUUGAGUAGGUUUUCAUAUGAUUCUCUAAAUAGCUCCUUAACUCUUCUUUUUAUUUUUGCUUUGGUAGCAUCAUCUGCUGUAGCCCACAUCGCAUUUUCUUCGUUGUGACAGUCAUUAUCAACAUUCUCUUCAUGAAUGCUUUUCCCUUUCAACGAGCCCUUUCUUCUCGCUUCUAAAGAUAGUAUAUUUGAUCUUCAUUUUAAAUUUGUUUUAUCCUACUAAUAAAUGGCUUCAUGAAUGUAAUCCCAUACCAUUUUAAGUCAACCAGCGUUUUAGUAUGAGGCUAGAGUUUCUCAAAUGAAAAUCGUUUGUGUGUAGCUUUGGGUAUAAAGCUAAGUUGUAAGAGUUAUCAAGCAACCUUCUUCUAUGAGAUUUAAUAUCUUGAAUCUGAGUUUUCUGAGCUCUACAAAAUAGAAUGGCAGAGGUUAACUAGAACCUUAAAAAAUAUAAUGGGUUAAAGGUAAAAUCUAGGUGAUUGAUAUGUUUCCUUUGUAAUGUUGGUUUCUCUCUUACUCUUAAAAAUAGAUAACAUAGUGGAGAAUCUCAAGAGGUGUUCUUGAAGAGUGGAUGUAGGCGGGUUAGUGCCGAACCACUAUAAAUCUCUUGUGUUUAUCUACUUUUUAUUUGAGAUCUUGCUUGAUCACACUUGCUUAACACACAUAUCUAUUUAUCUUUUAUGAAAUGCUAAGUUGUUGAUGUUUUUCUAAA